UACGGGGGAUGCAGGCGUUAUUCAGCAUUACUGGGCGUAAAGAGUAUGAUGGGUGGUUUUUUUAAUUAAAAUUAAAAUAUAAUUUUUUAAAAUUAAAUAAUUUAUAAUAUUAAAAAACUACGAGUAUAUAUCACGUAUAUUGUAUUUAUAUAGUAAAGGUGAAAUUUUAUAAUAAUAUAAAGACUUUCAAUAAGCGAAGGCUAUAUACCAGAAUAUACUGACACUUUAGUACGAAAGCAUGGGGAGCAAAAAGG
rnacentral:rRNA from 1 species